UACGUAGGUGGCAAGCGUUAUCCGGAAUUAUUGGGCGUAAAGAGCGCGCAGGUGGUUGAUUAAGUCUGAUGUGAAAGCCCACGGCUUAACCGUGGAGGGUCAUUGGAAACUGGUCGACUUGAGUGCAGAAGAGGGAAGUGGAAUUCCAUGUGUAGCGGUGAAAUGCGUAGAGAUAUGGAGGAACAUCAGUGGCGAAGGCGGCUUACUGGACGAAGACUGACGUUGAGGCUCGAAAGCGUGGGGAGCAAACAGGAUUAGAUA
rnacentral:rRNA from 1 species